CCUACGGGUGGCAGCAGUGGGGAAUAUUGGGCAAUGGGCGCAAGCCUGACCCAGCAAUGCCGCGUGAAGGAAGAAGGCUUUCGGGUUGUAAACUUCUUUGACAGGGGAAGAGCAGAAGACGGUACCCUGAAAACAAGCCACGGCUAACUACGUGCCAGCAGCCGCGGUAAGACGUAGUUGGCAAGCGUUGUCCGGAGUUACUGGGUGAAAAGGGCGUGUAGCCGGGAAGGCAAGUCAGAUGUGAAAUCUGGAGGCUCAACCUCCCAAUUGCAUUUGGAAAUGUUUUUCUUGAGUACUGGAGAGGCAGACGGAAGUCCUUGUGUAGCGGGGAAAUGCGUAGAUAUAAGGAGGAACACCAGUGGCGAAGGCGGUCUGCUGGACAGCAACUGACGGUGAGGCGCGAAAGCGUGGGGAGCAAACAGGAUUAGAUACCCUUGUAGUC
rnacentral:rRNA from 1 species